CCUACGGGUGGCAGCAGUGAGGAAUAUUGGUCAAUGGGCUUACGCCUGAACCAGCCAAGUCGCGUGAGGGAAGACUGCCCUAUGGGUUGUAAACCUCUUUUGUCAGGGAGCAACGCCGGCUACGUGUAGCCGGACUGAGAGUACCUGAAGAAAAAGCAUCGGCUAACUCCGUGCCAGCAGCCGCGGUAAUACGGAGGAUGCGAGCGUUAUCCGGAAUCAUUGGGCGUAAAGAGUUCGUAGGCGGCACGUAAAGUCUGGUGUUAAAGGCAGAGGCUCAACUUCUGUACGGCACUGGAUACUUGCGAGCUAGAAUGCGGUAGAGGUAAAGGGAAUUCCUGGUGUAGCGGUGAAAUGCUUAGAUAUCAGGAGGAACAUCGGUGGCGUAAGCGCUUUACUGGGCCGUAAUUGACGCUGAGGAACGAAAGCCAGGGUAGCAAAUGGGAUUAGAUACCCCUGUAGUC
rnacentral:rRNA from 1 species